rnacentral:tRNA from 1 species
GGCGCCGUGGUCCAUGGGUGAAGAUGCUGCACUGGCGAUGCGGUGAGGCGGCUUCCAGUCCCGCCGGCGCCG